rnacentral:hammerhead_ribozyme from 1 species
AUCCAACAGACGAGUCCCAAAUAGGACGAUAUGUGCAUCCUGGAU